rnacentral:lncRNA from 1 species
AAUGGUUUCAGUCUCUGGUCUUACAUAUAGGUGGUUCAAUAACUUGGCCUUGGAAGGAAGGUUUUUCUUAACCACAGGGAGUUCCUCCAAUUGGGUCAAUUUCAUGGAAGGUUUUUCUUUGUGUCUCUAUCUCCUUAAGUUCUGCUCUGACCUUAGUUAUUUCUUGCCUUCUGCUAGGUUUUGAGUUUUUUUGGUCUUGCUCGUCUAGCUCUUUCAAUUUUGACAAUAGGGUGUCGAUUUUAGAUCUCUCCUUGCUUCUCAUGGGGGCAUUUAUUGCUAUAUAUUUUCCUCUAGACACUGCUUUAAAUGUGUCCCAGAGAUUCUGGAAUGUUGUGUCUUCAUUCUCAUUGGUUUAAAAGAACAUCUUUAUUUCUGCCUUCAUUUCAUUGUUUAUCCAGUCAACAUUCAAGGCCAGUUGUUCAGUUUCCAUGAAGCUGUGCGGUUCUGAGUUAGUUUCUGAAAUCUGAGUUCUAACUUGAUUGCGCUGUAGUCUGAGAGACUGUUUGUUAUGAUUUCCAUUCUUUUGCAUUUGCUGAGGAGUGAUUUAAUUCCAAUUAUGUGGUCAAUUUAGAGUAGGUGUGAUGUGGAGCUGAGAAGAAUGUAUAUUCUGUGGAUUUGGGGUGGAGAGUUCUAUUAGGUCUGCUUGUUCCAGGUCUGAGUUCAAGUCCUGGAUAUCCUUGUUAAUUUUCUGUCUUGUUGAUCAGUCUAAUAUUGACAAUGGGGUGUUAAAGUCUCCCACUAUUAUUGUGUCAGAGUCUAAUCUCCCACUUUGUGUCAGAGUCUAAGUCUCUUUGUAAGUCAUUAAGAACUUGCUUUAUGUAUCUGGGUGCUCCUGUAUUGGGUGCAUAUAUAUUUAGGAUUGUUAGCUCUUCUUGUUGCAUUGAUCCUUUUACCGUUAUGUAAUGUCCUUCUUUGUCUCUUUUGAUCUUUGUUGGUUCAAAGUCUAUUUUAUCUGAGAUGAGAAUUGCAACUCCUGCUUUUUUUUGCUCUCCAUUUGCUAGGUAAGUCUUCCUCCAUCCCUUUAUUUUGAGCCUUUGUGUAUCCUUGCAUGUGAGAUGGGUUUCCUGGUUACAGCACAUUGAUGGUUUUAGCUUUUUAUUCAAUUUGCCAGUCUGUGUCUUUUGAUUGGUACAUUUAGCCCAUUUACAUUUAGGGUUAAUAUUACUAUGUGUGAAUUUGAUCCUGCC